AGUGCGCACGGAGGAUGCCUAGGCGCCAGGAGCCGACGAAGGACGCGACGAACAGCGAUAUGCUUCGGGGAGCUGUAAGUGAGCUUUGAUCCGGAGAUUUCCGAAUGGGGAAACCCAGCCGAGGUAAUGCUCGGUUACUCAUCACUGAAUACAUAGGUGAUGUAGAGGCACACCAGGGGAACUGAAACAUCUAAGUACCCUGAGGAAGAGAAAACAACAGUGAUUCCGUCAGUAGCGGCGAGCGAACGCGGAUUAGCCCAAACCAAGGGGCUUGCCCCUUGGGGUUGUGGGACGUCUCACCAUGGAGUUACAAAGGGAUAGGGUAGACGAAGAGGUCUGGAAAGGCCCGUCGUAGAAGGUAACAACCCUGUAGUCGAAAGUCUAUCCCCUCCGAGACGGAUCCCGAGUACCGCGAGACACGUGAAACCUCGUGGGAAUCCGGCAGGACCAUCUGCCAAGGCUAAAUACUCCCUGGCGACCGAUAGUGAAGCAGUACCGUGAGGGAAAGGUGAAAAGCACCGCGGGAGCGGAGUGAAAAAGAACCUGAAACCGUGCGCUUACAAGAAGUCAGAGCCCGAUCUAGGGGGUGAUGGCGUGCCUUUUGUAGAAUGAACCGGCGAGUUACGUUCACGUGCAAGGUUAAGUCGAGGAGACGGAGCCGAAGCGAAAGCGAGUCUGAAUAGGGGCGCUAUAGUACGUGGUCGUAGACCCGAAACCGUGUGAUCUACCCCUGUGCAGGGUGAAGGUGAGGUAAUACUCACUGGAGGCCCGAACUCGUGAGCGUUGAAAAGCUCUGGGAUGACGUGGGGGUAGGGGAGAAAUUCCAAUCGAACUCGGAGAUAGCUGGUUCUCCCCGAAAUAGCUUUAGGGCUAGCCUCGAGGUUGAGCAUCAUGGAGGUAGAGCACUGAUUGGGUGCGGGGCCCGCAAGGGUUACCAAGUCCAGUCAAACUCCGAAUGCCAUGCAUGUAUACUCGGGAGUCAGACGGCGAGUGCUAAGAUCCGUCGUCAAGAGGGAAAGAGCCCAGAUCAUCAGCUAAGGUCCCCAAGUGUGUGUUAAGUGGGAAAGGAUGUGGAGUUGCGAAGACAACCAGGAUGUUGGUUAGAAGCAGCCACCAUUUAAAGAGUGCGUAAUAGCUCACUGGUCGAGUGACUCUGCGCCGAAAAUGUAACGGGGCUAAACACACCACCGAAGCUAUGGCAUGUACCUAGUGUACUUGGGUAGGGGAGCGUUGAAUGCGGGUUGAAGUCAGACCGGAAGGACUGGUGGACUGCAUUCAAGUGAGAAUGCCGGUAUGAGUAACGAAAAGAUCAGUGAGAAUCUGAUCCGCCGAAAGCCUAAGGGUUCCUGGGGAAGGUUCGUCCGCCCAGGGUAAGUCGGGACCUAAGGCGAGGCCGAAAGGCGUAGUCGAAGGACAACAGGUUGAAAUUCCUGUACCACCGUAAUCCGUUACGAGCGAUGGGGGGACGCAGGAGGGCAAAGACGCAGGCUGAUGGAAUAGCCUGUCUAAGCAGUGAGAGGUGUGUGUAGGCAAAUCCGCACACUGAUACCUCAAGCUGUGACGGGGAGGGAAAAUUACAGUACCGAAGGUCUUGCACCCACGCUGCCAAGAAAAGCCUCUAGCCAGGAGAAGGUGCCCGUACCGCAAACCGACACAGGUAGGCGAGAUGAAAAUUCUAAGGCGCGCGGAAGAACUCUCGUUAAGGAACUCGGCAAAAUGACCCCGUAACUUCGGGAGAAGGGGUGCCCCGGUAGCGUGAAUAGCGCGAGGGGGCCGCAGUGAAGAGGCCCAAGCGACUGUUUAGCAAAAACCACAGGUCUGUGCCGAAGCCGUAAGGCGAAGUAUACGGGCUGACGCCUGCCCGGUGCUGGAAGGUUAAGGGGAGCGGUUAGGGGUAACCCGAAGCUGUGAACCGAAGCCCCAGUAAACGGCGGCCGUAACUAUAACGGUCCUAAGGUAGCGAAAUUCCUUGUCAGGUAAAUUCUGACCCGCACGAAUGGCGUAACGAUCUUGGGCGCUGUCUCAACGAGAGAUCCGGUGAAAUUUUAGUACCUGUGAAGAUGCAGGUUACCCGCGACGUGACGGAAAGACCCCAUGGAGCUUUACUGUAACUUGAUAUUGAACUUUGGUACGGUCUGUACAGGAUAGGUGGGAGCCUAUGAAAUGGGAGCGCAAGCUUCCAUGGAGGCGCCGUUGGGAUACCACCCUGAUCGUAUCGGAGUUCUAACCUGUCGCCAUGAAGCUGGCGAAGGGACCGAUGUCAGGUGGACAGUUUGACUGGGGCGGUCGCCUCCUAAAAAGUAACGGAGGCGCCCUAAGGUUCCCUCAGAAUGGUUGGAAAUCAUUCGAAGAGUGCAAGGCAUAAGGAGCUUGACUGCGAGACCUACAAGUCGAGCAGGGACGAAAGUCGGGCUUAGUGAUCCGGUGGUACCGAAUGGAAGGGCCAUCGCUCAACGGAUAAAAGCUACCCUGGGGAUAACAGGCUUAUCUCCCCCAAGAGUCCACAUCGACGGGGAGGUUUGGCACCUCGAUGUCGGCUCAUCGCAUCCUGGGGCUGAAGUAGGUCCCAAGGGUUGGGCUGUUCGCCCAUUAAAGCGGUACGCGAGCUGGGUUCAGAACGUCGUGAGACAGUUCGGUCCCUAUCUGUCGCGGGCGUAGGAAAUUUGAGAGGGGCUGUCCUUAGUACGAGAGGACCGGGAUGGACGCACCGCUGGUGUACCAGUUGUUCCGCCAGGAGCACCGCUGGGUAGCCAAGUGCGGAAGGGAUAAGCGCUGAAAGCAUCUAAGCGCGAAGCCUGCCUCAAGAUGAGAUUUCCCAAUUCGUAAGACCCCUUGA
rnacentral:rRNA from 1 species